AAAUUCUGAAGAAAAUGCUUUAGUUUAAUAACAUUAUAUUAGACUGAAUGUACGUUCUCAUACUAUUAGUGUUGAUUUGUUUUAACCAGAAGAAUGUGCACUUGGCACCCUCUCUGAAGGUUGGUACGCCGAGGCGGCACCCUACCAAUAGCCUUGGCCUAUUGAGUGAACAUCUCGGCAUUAUUUUGCCUGAAAUACUUGCCUUUUGAUUUUUAUUUGUUUGUAAGAAGAUAUAUCUUUUGGCUUUUUUCGAUUGUGAGAUUAUUGGUCGAGUAAAUAUAGAAUUUGAGUUUGUCAGGUUUUUUAGUGCUAUAUUGGAGCCAAAGGAAAAACAAAUUAGUACUGCAGCUCGGAAACACGGCAGGGGGCCAACAUGGUAAGAUUUUCGGUUGAUAAUUACAAUAAACCUAUUCCGGCCUUUUUGGAGAUCCUUCAAAGGACCAUCCUUAUGAUCCUGCCCAUGAUUCUGUUCUAUCACGAGUGAAGUAUCACUUCUCUACUGAAUCAGUGGCCUUCGAUAGGCGUUAAUGUUGAAUUAAUGUUUCUAUAUGCCCCAAUAAUUCAUAAUAUCUUGAUAUUUGGAUUAUGUCACCACUCUAUCAAGAGGUAUUCAUUUUGUAAUCUUCUUUGGAUAUUUAAGCGGCUUAUGUUGUUCUUGAGUGUUGAUUCAAGUAGUUGUAUAAGUUAAAGUGCGACUGUGAGCGACCAACUUGUCGCAAAUAAGUCAGUUGUCGUCAGCUUCUGUUCUUUGGGAGGUUCAAUUGAUAUUAUGGAUGAUUAUUCUUGAA